rnacentral:rRNA from 1 species
AUUGAACGCUGGCGGAAUGCUUUACACAUGCAAGUCGAACGGCAGCACGGGGGCAGCCCUGGUGGCGAGUGGCGAACGGGUGAGUAAUACAUCGGAACGUGCCCGGUCGUGGGGGAUAACGUAGCGAAAGUUACGCUAAUACCGCAUACGAUCUGAGGAUGAAAGCGGGGGACCUUCGGGCCUCGCGCGAUCGGAGCGGCCGAUGUCAGAUUAGGUAGUUGGUGGGGUAAAGGCCUACCAAGCCGACGAUCUGUAGCUGGUCUGAGAGGACGACCAGCCACACUGAGACUGAGACACGGCCCAGACUCCUACGGGAGGCAGCAGUGGGGAAUUUUGGACAAUGGGCGCAAGCCUGAUCCAGCCAUUCCGCGUGCAGGACGAAGGCCUUCGGGUUGUAAACUGCUUUUGUACGGAACGAAAAGGCUCUGGCUAAUACCUGGGGCUCAUGACGGUACCGUAAGAAUAAGCACCGGCUAACUACGUG